rnacentral:rRNA from 1 species
UACGUAGGGUGCGAGCGUUGUCCGGAAUUAUUGGGCGUAAAGAGCUCGUAGGCGGUGUGUCACGUCGUUCGUGAAAACCUGCAGCUUAACUGUGGGCGUGCGGUCGAUACGGGCAUCACUGGAGUUCGGCAGGGGAGACUGGAAUUCCUGGUGUAGCGGUGAAAUGCGCAGAUAUCAGGAGGAACACCGGUGGCGAAGGCGGGUCUCUGGGGCCGAUACUGACGCUGAGACGCGAAAGCGUGGGGAGCGAACAGG